CAUCAUGCUAUGGAAAAAAUGGAAGAAUUUGUUUGUAAGGUAUGGGAAGGUCGGUGGCGAGUGAUCCCUCAUGAUGUACUACCAGACUGGCUCAAGGAUAAUGACUUCCUCUUGCAUGGACACCGGCCUCCUAUGCCUUCUUUCCGGGCCUGUUUUAAGAGCAUUUUCAGAAUACACACAGAAACAGGCAACAUUUGGACACAUCUCUUAGGUAUGUAAUGUCAGUGAUGUAAUGAGCUGGCGAUUCACUUUCUUCCUUUUUAUUUUCAUGUAUUUGAGGGUAAGCACAGAACUUCAGAAAUGUAUUUGGAUUUGCCAUUUUGUUUUCUGAAUUUCUAAUGAUGAAUUUUCUGACUGGUUUACUCGUAGUUUAUCCUGGUUUGCACUAUGAUUUUGUUAUAACUUAAGUUAUAUUUCUUUCUACUAGAUUUUCAGAUCUUGUCCUUAAACCAGGCCAAAUAAAAGUUGCUAUACAAAAUGUGGUUGCAUAUUGUAGUGACCACUGAGAAGAAAGUAUUAUUUAAUAGAAGUAAUCUGAUCUUUUAAAAUGCAUUACUUAUAUGCACUGCUAAUUUUCAGUUUGGCCUGAAGUAGAAUAUGGACUGUAAUUUUUUCUCCAUAAUGAUUGUAUAUUAAAGAAAGAAUACUGUAGAGGAAAGAAUAGUCUUUCCAACAAAUGGUGCUGGGAUAACUGAGCCAUAUGUAAAAGAAUGAUCCCGAACUCACAUAUGCAAAAGUGAACCCAAAAUGGAUCAAAGACCCAAACAUAAGAGCAAAAACUAUAAAAUCCUUA
rnacentral:sRNA from 1 species